rnacentral:rRNA from 1 species
AUUGAACGCUGGCGGCAGGCUUAACACAUGCAAGUCGGGCGGUAGCACAGGGGAGCUUGCUCCCUGGGUGACGAGCGGCGGACGGGUGAGUCAUGUCUGGGAAACUGCCUGAUGGAGGGGGAUAACUACUGGAAACGGUAGCUAAUACCGCAUAACGUCGCAAGACCAAAGAGGGGGACCUUCGGGCCUCUUGCCAUCAGAUGUGCCCAGAUGGGAUUAGCUAGUAGGUGGGGUAAUGGCUCACCUAGGCGACGAUCCCUAGCUGGUCUGAGAGGAUGACCAGCCACACUGGAACUGAGACACGGUCCAGACUCCUACGGGAGGCAGCAGUGGGGAAUAUUGCACAAUGGGCGCAAGCCUGAUGCAGCCAUGCCGCGUGUGUGAAGAAGGCCUUCGGGUUGUAAAGCACUUUCAGCGAGGAGGAAGGUGGUGAGCUUAAUACGUUCAUCAAUUGACGUUACUCGCAGAAGAAGCACCGGCUAACUCCGUG